rnacentral:lncRNA from 1 species
CUGAACAAAAUAUUUUCUGCUUUUUCUUUCUUUAACAUAUAUCUUUUGGUUUUCAAUUCUAGUGUUUAUAUUUAUUUACCAUGCAUAGAUGUAUUUUGUCACCUGUAUGGAAUUUUUUUAGUUGAUCGCCAAAUCCGGAAUUACUCUUAUCCGCUUCCGGAAUCGAAUCCGAUAUUGUAAUUGGCAUCCAUUUUGUUUUCAAUGUUGUUUUUGUCAGUCAGAUACGAUUUUAC